UCGAUUUUUGUGAUACUGUGAGGAUGUAUUUUGAGGGAUCAUGGCAUACUAUCUGCUGAGAUCCAUGGAGUGUUGCUAUUGCCAAAUUGACAACACGGAUGGAGGUGGUGUGUGGAUAAUGCUUGGAGUUUCUAUGUCAGGAAAACUUUUAUGCUUUUUUUAUCCACAAUCUUAAAACUUAGUAUAGCAAUCCAUGGAUAUCACCUGUGCUCGAAGCAAUAUUAUAGCCAUUCCUUUUUAACUUGAAUUAGUUGAUAAAUCCAUAUAAGUAUCUGAUUUUGCUGUUGUUUGCUGCAGGCGACAAGGGAGCCGCUACAGUAGUGCCACUUAUUAACAUGACAUGCAAAUGUAGCCAUAAUGACUCAAAUCAGCAAGAGGCAGGCGUUUGAGAGUGUCAAGUGGCACAAGUAGCAGCUGCAAAUAGGAUGAUCUUAAUUUUUCAAACACAUGAUAGAUGUAGCUUAAUAAUAUAAGAAUGGACCAUCUAUUAGUAACUGAAUAUGACUAUUGGCAGUGCACAAUAUAUUCACCUACUCAAUUGCACACUUAACUUUGUCACACUUCAAUCUCUUGUCUUAUUAUUUUAUAACUUCUAAGUUCGUAGGCCUUGUUGAUUUGUGUUGACAUACAUACUUAGGUGCAACGUAUACAAUUUUUGCAAUAAUCGUUAGGAUUCACCAUCAUUCCAUUCCUUUUCCAUUCCAUUUCUACCAUCCCACCGUAUAUAUUUAUGCCUCUUCCUCGAAUAUAUUGAGCAACAAACAUUAGUCUAACUCAAAUUGGGCGUGGGCUACGAGAUUAUUUUUUUUCCUCAAAAGCACAUGUCUGGGAGCCGUUCCUUUUUCAAAUUUCUUUGUUUCGACCAGUUCUCCUACAAUUUUCCCACAUUCC
rnacentral:lncRNA from 1 species